rnacentral:rRNA from 1 species
UACGUAGGUCCCGAGCGUUGUCCGGAUUUAUUGGGCGUAAAGCGAGCGCAGGUGGUUUAGUAAGUCUGGUGUAAAAGGCAGUGGCUCAACCAUUGUAUGCAUUGGAAACUGGUAGACUUGAGUGCAGGAGAGGAGAGUGGAAUUCCAUGUGUAGCGGUGAAAUGCGUAGAUAUAUGGAGGAACACCGGUGGCGAAAGCGGCUCUCUGGCCUGUAACUGACACUGAGGCCCGAAAGCGUGGGGAGCAAACAGG